rnacentral:rRNA from 1 species
GAUGAACGCUAGCUACAGGCUUAACACAUGCAAGUCGCGGGGCAGCAUGGGGGUUGCUUGCCAUCCCCGAUGGCGACCGGCGCACGGGUGAGUAACGCGUGUCCAACCUGCCCUUCACCACGGGAUAACCCGGCGAAAGUCGGACUAAUACCGUAUGUUGUCCAUUGACGGCAUCCGAUUUGGACGAAAGGCUUGGCGGUGAGGGAUGGGGAUGCGUCCGAUUAGCCAGACGGCGGGGUAACGGCCCACCGUGGCUACGAUCGGUAGGGGUUCUGAGAGGAAGGUCCCCCACACUGGAACUGAGACACGGUCCAGACUCCUACGGGAGGCAGCAGUGAGGAAUAUUGGUCAAUGGGCGUAAGCCUGAACCAGCCAAGUAGCGUGCAGGAUGACGGCCCUAUGGGUUGUAAACUGCUUUUAUGCGGGGAUAAAGUGGCCCACGUGUGGGCUUUUGCAGGUACCGCAUGAAUAAGGACCGGCUAAUUCCGUG